rnacentral:rRNA from 1 species
AGUCGAGGGGUACGGGGAAGCUUGCUUCCGCCGACGACCGGCGCACGGGUGCGUAACGCGUAUACAAUCUACCUUAUACUGGGGUAUAGCCUUUAGAAAUGAAGAUUAAUCCCCCAUAGUCUCUUAAAGUGGCAUCACUUAAGGAGUAAAGGUUACGGUAUAAGAUGAGUAUGCGUUCUAUUAGUUUGUUGGUGUGGUAACGGCACACCAAGACUACGAUAGAUAGGGGCCCUGAGAGGGGGAUCCCCCACACUGGUACUGAGACACGGACCAGACUCCUACGGGAGGCAGCAGUGAGGAAUAUUGGACAAUGGAGGCAACUCUGAUCCAGCCAUGCCGCGUGCAGGAUGACUGCCCUAUGGGUUGUAAACUGCUUUUAUACAGGAAGAAACUUACACACGUGUGUGUAACUGACGGUACUGUAAGAAUAAGGAUCGGCUAACUCCGUGCCAGCAGCCGCGGUAAUACGGAGGAUCCAAGCGUUAUCCGGAAUCAUUGGGUUUAAAGGGUCCGUAGGUUGAUAAUUAAGUCAGAGGUGAAAUCUUGCAGCUCAACUGUAAAAUUGCCUUUGAUACUGGUUAUCUUGAGUUAUUAUGAAGUAGUUAGAAUAUGUAGUGUAGCGGUGAAAUGCAUAGAUAUUACAUAGAAUACCAAUUGCGAAGGCAGAUUACUAAUAAUCAGCUGACACUGAUGGACGAAAGCGUGGGUAGCGAACAGGAUUAGAUACCCUGGUAGUCCACGCCGUAAACGAUGGUUACUAGCUGUUUGGACCUUGUGUCUGAGUGGCUAAGCGAAAGUGAUAAGUAACCCACCUGGGGAGUACGUUCGCAAGA